rnacentral:rRNA from 1 species
UCAGGCCUAACACAUGCAAGUCGAACGAGACCUUCGGGUCUAGUGGCGCACGGGUGCGUAACGCGUGGGAAUCUGCCCUUGGGUUCGGAAUAACUCAGAGAAAUUUGAGCUAAUACCGGAUGAUGACGAAAGUCCAAAGAUUUAUCGCCCAAGGAUGAGCCCGCGUAAGAUUAGCUUGUUGGUGGGGUAAUGGCCCACCAAGGCGACGAUCUUUAGCUGGUCUGAGAGGAUGAUCAGCCACGCUGGGACUGAGACACGGCCCAGACUCCUACGGGAGGCAGCAGUGGGGAAUAUUGGACAAUGGGCGAAAGCCUGAUCCAGCAAUGCCGCGUGAGUGAUGAAGGCCUUAGGGUUGUAAAGCUCUUUACCAGGGAUGAUA